GAUUUGUGAGCCUUGAAAGGACCAUGGAACAUAGCAGGUACAUGGGAUAGAUGUGUUAGUAAGAUUUCAUGUGGGGUGCGAUCAGGGAAUUGUCUAAAUAGUCAUCUGCAGAGCCAGCCACAGUGGCUCCCGCCUAUAAUCCCAGUGCUUUGGGAGGGCAAGGCAGAAGGAUCGCUUGAAGUCAGGAGUUUGAGACAAGCCUGGGCAACGUGGUGAGACCUCAUCUCUACAAUUUAAAAAAAAAAAAAUUAAGUGGUGCACGCAUGU
rnacentral:lncRNA from 10 species